rnacentral:misc_RNA from 1 species
CAUUAUCGUACAACCGAGGUGCAAGGGCUGUCGCUGACCUCCAAAGGUUGUGCACGCCCGAGCGCUCUCACACAAUCCAUCUCACACCCCUUUGUGCAUCACCGCGAGGGUCCCAGUGGCUGUAACGGCCCCAAGGUGGGAAUGCGAGGCGAUGUUUUCCCCAACGGAGUCCCGUGCUCGUGCGCCGAGUUCAAGACUGUCCCCUCCAGAAAACUUUGGUGUCCAUCGUCCCUCACAGCGUAGGCUGUGGUCGGAUUUGGAGUAAUCGGCCCUUGUCUAGCCAGGGAAGCAAUUCCGCAGCUAGCAGGACUCACCGAGUUGGUCUUAGGAGAUCAGGGCACGUCAUCUGUCGCGCGGGUGCGCCGUGUCCCUCGUAGACCUUUAUACCUCGCGUUUUCACACAAACCUCUGAUACAGUGUAGAAUGUUAUUUUACCUUUUGCGGUCACACGCAAUCAAUACAACUUUCAACAACGGAUCUCUUGGCUCUCGCAUCGAUGAAGAACGCAGCGAAAUGCGAUACGUAAUGUGAAUUGCAGAAUUCAGUGAAUCAUCGAAUCUUUGAACGCACCUUGCGCCCCUUGGCAUUCCGAGGGGCACACCCGUUUGAGUGUCGUGAAAACCAUCAAAACCUUUUUCUCGCGAGCUCCUCUCAAAUGAAUCAGUGGGGUCCGCUUUGCCGAUCCUUGACGUGAUAAGAUGCUUCUACGUUUUGGAUUUGGCACUGUCCCUUGGAUGCCUGCUUCUAACCGUCCCAUGGACAAAGAUGGUGCUCCGGUCAACCGCCGUCUACGUUGGCGGGGGGAGGCUGGACCCACAAGAAG